rnacentral:tRNA from 1 species
GUAGCUCAGCAGUAUAGCACUUGCCUGGCAUGUAAGAGGCCCUGGGUUCAACCCCUAGC